CUACGGGCUGCUCCAGUCGAGAAUCUUCCGCAAUGGACGAAAGUCUGACGGAGCGACGCCGCGUGCGGGAUGAAGGCCUUCGGGUUGUAAACCGCUGCCAGUGGGGAGGAAAUGCAUCAGGGUUCUCCCUGGUGUUUGACCGAUCCGCAGAGGAAGCGCAGGCUAAGUUCGUGCCAGCAGCCGCGGUAACACGAACUGCGCGAACGUUAUUCGGAAUCACUGGGCUUAAAGAGUUCGUAGGCGGCCUUUCCAGUCGGGUGUGAAAUCCCUCGGCUCAACCGAGGAAUUGCGCCUGAUACUGUUGGGCUUGAGGGGGAUAGGGGUGAGCGGAACUGAUGGUGGAGCGGUGAAAUGCGUUGAUAUCAUCAGGAACACCGGUGGCGAAGGCGGCUCACUGGAUCUCUUCUGACGCUGAGGAACGAAAGCUAGGGGAGCGAACGGGAUUAGAUACCCCCGUAGUC
rnacentral:rRNA from 1 species